UAGCAACAACCUGCUAUGGAAUCCCCAGGCCCGACUGGAAGUCUCUGCAUUUCCCCAUUGAUGUUCCCCUGCAGCACUGAAGAGGUUAAUGUAGGCGCAACAAAAAGAGAGAGAGAAGCGAUUGCUGCACCUGAGAGAAGCAGACAGGUAUGCUGGGGGGAAGGAGGCAGCAGAGAAUGGACUCUCCCUGGGACUUACUGACAGCUCAUGUGGGAGAGGAGCAGCAGGAGGAGCGCAGGAGAGCGGCAGGAGGACAGCAAGAGCAGACUGUUCCAGUAAAAUCGAAGAGGAGCCGAAUCUGACAUUACCCGAAGACAACUAAUGUUCAUCAAUGGAGUCAUCUUCUGGGCAUAUAACUACUCAAAACUUGGGACGUACCAGCUCUGACAGCACCGGGAGGAAGACUAUGAUGGUGGCCGUGUUGCUGGCGAAUUCAGUGAAGGAGGCAAUGAGCACCGUGACCAGCAGGACGGCGAGCGCCGGAGAAAUACCCUCGAGUGGCUGCAGGCGACCCCCAAUCCAUGUAGAAAGUCCGGAAGCCUGCAAAGAGGCCAGAGUUUAUUUCUACAGUUUCUACUACAUAAGAGAUUCUAUAAAAACGACAAACGAAGCCGUGAUCUUUGCCCAAUUUCAAGGAAAAGGCUCGUGGGACAAACGGCACAAACACAACCGCGCCGAGAGAAAAGGAACCGUGUCUGUGCCGCCAAACGUAGUCCGUAUGGAUAACUGAGGGAUUACACUGAGCUGAAGCGCUGAAAUGGAACACGGAUGGAACACGGACACACCGGCUGAGAUGGGUCGAUUCUAAGGGGUUAAAGAUGUGGCUAUGGUGUAACAUCGUUACGGCCUGUAAAGAUCCUGGAAUGGGAUAAUAAAUGAAGCUGGACGGAAGGUUUUGGACUGAAAGUGUUAAAUGGACUUUGGAGCAUUCAGCAAAGGUUUAGAUCGAAGAUAAAUGAAUAUUUCAAUGUUAAUUGUAAAAAUGUGUUGGAGAGAUUGCAGGGACUUUAUACGGUAACCAGUAAAAUCGGUUUUGGAUUGUGAGCUUUGCUGCCCAAUCAGCAACCUGCCACUGACUUGCACUUUUCCUAAUGUGCUUAAAAGGGUCGUUCAUCUUAAAACUAACUUUUACGACGUUGUGGACAGGGAUAUUCUGAGACAAUUUGCAAUUGGUUUUCAUUUAUUAUUAUUUAUGGUUUUUGAGAUAUUUAGCGUCUUAUUCAACUCUCUAGUAUGGAAUUCCAGCACCUGUCUGGUUGCUAGAGUCUAAAUUACCCCAGCAACCAGGCAGUCGUUUGAACAAGAGACAGGAAUAGGAUAGACCUGAAUAGAAUAAGUAACAAAAACUAAAUGUGUUUUUUGCCUGCCGGGGUCACUGACCCCCAUUUGAAAGGUGCAACGAGUCGGAAAAAGAAACCAAAUUGCUCAAAACUAUACGUAACAAAUGAAGUCUAACUAAAAAGUUUCUAGGAAUGGACCAUGUUAUCACCUACUAGAACUUCACUAGCUCUUUAAUACUGUGCAGUAGAAAGUAGAAUGGAAUGGAUGAGCCUUCAAGGGAUUAUAGAGGCAGGCGGAGAACAUUUUGGGAGAUUUGGUAAAGUGCCAACGGUCAUUUAAGCAUCUGAUACAGAUGAUGUGAAGGUAAUGCAGGUAUGGGAUCUAUUAGCCAUAAAGCUCCGAAUUAGGGGAAAGCCAUGUCCCAUAAACUCCAAAUAAAUUUAAACUCUUAAAAAUAAA